rnacentral:misc_RNA from 1 species
GAUGAAGAACGUAGCGAAAUGCGAUAAGUAAUGUGAAUUGCAGAAUUCAGUGAAUCAUCGAAUCUUUGAACGCACAUUGCGCCCGCCAGUAUUCUGGCGGGCAUGCCUGUUCGAGCGUCAUUUCAACCAUCAAGCCCCAGGCUUGUGUUGGGGACCUGCGGCUGCCGCAGGCCCUGAAAACCAGUGGCGGGCUCGCUGUCACACCGGGCGUAGUAGAUUUUAUCUCGCUCAGGGCGUGCUGCGGGUUCCGGCCGUUAAAAAGCCUUUUUUACCCAAGGUUGACCUCGGAUCAGGUAGGAAGACCCGCUGAACCUAAGCAUAUCAAUAAGCGGAGGA